rnacentral:rRNA from 1 species
GAACCUUCGGGAAGGAUCAUUG